ACCUUUUAAGUGUCAAAGUAUCAUUUUCCUUUUUAACGCUCCAUAUACGCUUCGAUUUCGCAGAAAUCGAAACAUUUAAAAAUGCAUGAAGUUAUAUGCUUCGGGUGUACAAAUAAAUGAGGAGUGUUUCUCCCUGCACCUCACCAGUCUCAUCCUGCACUUCCAAAUUGACAAUUUUAUCCUUCUCUAUUUAAUAAAAUAAUUAUUUUUAAUCCAUCAAUAACCUUUAACUCUUUAUUUUAAUCCCACCUCAUCUUAUCAAAAAAAUUAAAUUUAACAUGCUAAAAUAUUAUUUCAUACAUAUAUUUUUUAAACAAAUUUAAUAUAAAAAAAUACUAAAUAAUAUAUAAUAUCUACACGUACAAAUUCUAAACUUAAAACAAAUCAAAUAAAAAUUUAAUUAAAUAUAACAAAGUAAAAAAAAAAAACCAAUAGAAAACCUAAACCCCAGUUUCAACUAUCCGUAGCUCCAUGUGCGGAGGAGGAGAAGCCAGACCGCAGCUUCAAGUGUGGAGAAGACGAUCGCAACUCCAAGUGCAGAGAAGAUAAUCACAACUCCAAGUGUGGAGAAGACGAACCGCAACUUCAAGUGCGGCAUCCCUGCGCGCCACCCAUAUGUUCGAUCUCUGCCGCCACCCACUGGAACCUCUCCUCCUCUAACCCCACUGCCUGUCUCCGGCACCUUGUCCUUCGAAAAAAUCUCACCUUAACAGAUCACUUUCAAAACCUGUACCGUUCAAAUCACUUUCAAAACAGAUCAGGUUAAACGACGAGGCAACUCUUCACCUCGUUCCAGUUCCUGUUGUUGUCGCCGACUAGAAGGGGCACCUGCAAGAACCUUCUGGCAGUCGGAGCCGUUGCGGAUGUGGAUGUAAGCGGAGGAGGUCACAACAGCCAUGCCCAAGAGUGAGAAAAACCCUAAAGCGUAAUUCCAACUACGGUGAACAUCAACCGCAAAUCCAAAUGCGGCAAGCGUCAACCGCACUUCCAAGUACGGCUACCGUGAAUCGCAUCUAGACAACUACCCACUGCAAGAACUCACCCCAUCGCGACACAGCUACCAAAAACAGAUCUUUGAGAAUGAAGAAUGAAACUACAACAAAUAAAACGAGGGAGGAGGAAUGAGAGGAGGAAGGUGGGGGAAAAACAAUUAAGCGAGAAAAGAGGAAAAAAAAAGGAGUGUAGGGAAAUAAAAUAUGCGGCAGCAAAAAGAGGUAGAGGACCAAGGAAUUGAUAGCUUAUUUUUAAUUGGUGAAUGAGUCGAAUAAAAAAACAAUAAAAAUAAUUUUUAAUAAAAACACAAUUAGAAAAUAUAAAAGAAAGAGGAGGUAGAGGAUUAAGAAGAUGUAGGAAGAAAUACUCGUAACCGAGACAUAAAGGUACAACACCGGUUUGUAGCAGAAUCGAAGGGUAACAUCCUCCACAAUCAGUUUGCAAGUCAAACUUUACAUCUGACACGUUUUUUGAAACACAUAUACUACUUCGGUUGCUGCAGGACGGAAGUAUGAAAGGCUACGACCUUGGUUAAUAGCAGAACUGAGGCAUAAGGUUCUGCACCUUUUCCAGCUUUUCAUCUGACACAGAGUUACUAUCUCGGUUUUCCAGCUAAUUUCAAAUUUUCUCAUUUUCUUAAAAAAUAAACUUUGAGUGUGUGUUUAAUCGAAUCCUAUAACGUGUGUUACUGCCUCAGUUUUAUUGUUAACCGAGUUAAUAGCCUUUAUUUACUAGCAGGACUACAGUAGAUCUUAUUUACGCUAACAAUUUUC
rnacentral:lncRNA from 1 species